AUACGGAGGGGGCAAGCGUUAUUCGGAAUUAUUGGGCGUAAAGGGCGCGUAGGCGGCUUGGUAAGUCAACGGUGAAAUCCCUCGGCUCAACCGAGGAAUGGCCUUUGAAACUGCCUCGCUAGAGGCCGGGAGAGGGUAGUGGAAUUCCCAGUGUAGCGGUGAAAUGCGUAGAUAUUGGGAGGAACACCAGUGGCGAAGGCGGCUACCUGGACCGGUUCUGACGCUGAGGUGCGAAAGCGUGGGGAGCAAACAGGAUUAGAUACCCCGGUAGUCC
rnacentral:rRNA from 1 species